UCCCUUGGCGCUGGCUCAGCUCUUCCCACACUCCUCCCCACUGACGUCAGUCGGCGGGGGAGAUCUAAUGUGCAUGCGCUCGCGUUAGGAUUUCCUUAUAAAAGGGAAUUAUUCAGUGCUUUUCUAUGGGGAUUCUGGUGAUGCUGGAAGUCCUCAUACAUAACGUGAGGACGCCCGGCGUCAUUUAGGCGACCAAAAGUUACCUAUCCACCCGGGAAGUGGCUUAGAAGAGGAGUUAACCCUAGCAGGUAAUUAUUGCGGUUUAUAAAAUCUGCAAUAAUUACAUGUUCAGGGUUAAGAGUGAUGGGAGUUUGCACCCAAACCACUUGAAUGAGCUGACGUGUUCUGGGUGCCUACAGUGUCGCUUUAAUACUCUUAGCAUGUGGAUGUUGCUUGACUAGCUGUGACGGACAGCAUAAAACUGCAUGUAUCUGCAACAGUACCUGUCUGUUUACACAAUUUUACCAGCGUUAUUAUGCUAGUUUUUUUUAUUUUUUUAUUCUAUGGUAGAAUUUAUAGAGGUUAAUUUACAGGAGCACAGGUGAAGAAC